UCUGUAUUUAGGAGCCAACUUCAUUACAGGUGCAUUGCCAGUGAAUUCUGUGGAAUGGUAACAGGGAUGAAUUUGGCCUUAGAUUUUUUUUCCACUUUAAUGACCCUCAAGAAAUAGCUGUCUUUUCAGGAGACUUAAGUGCCUUAGGGGACAAAGUAAUCUGGAUUUUCUCUCAUAUUUUAGGAUGUUGAUGUCACAGAUAUUUUCUUAAGUACCUUCCCAAAGGAGAACAUUUUAAAAAAACAUUCAGCAGAAUUGCUCUCUCAGGCAGGUCUCUAGUCUUUAUGAAGUCAAUCACCAGAAUGCCACAGUGAUCCUAUUCUUACAUUCAACACUUCAUAAAGCUACCAUAAAAUCGCUCCUGGACAAGGCGCAGCACACGGGCAGCUGGGCAGGGGGCCCCCACAGCAGGUGGAGCUCAGCCAGGCUCCCGGACAAGAGAGGAACACUGAUGCACACAAAGGAUAAGUGAAUAACACAACUUGACCGCACAGCUAAAUAGCAGGGGAAGAUGCAACAGAAAUCAGGAGACUUUAGAUUUACUUCACAGAGCUAACUUAUCUUCUUUACUGAUAAAAUUCUAAGAGAACCCGAGCCUGAACUAAAUCUAUGCAGCUUGGCUCGGUAGAUGAUUUACUACAUCUAUGAAUUGGCUGUCUCAUGUCUUUCACCAUUUCUAUGUGCUCUCAAUAAAUUUAUCCAAGAUUUUUUUUUUUUUGUAAAGCUAGGAAAUCCUAACAAUCAAUUGUUGGAGACCUUUAAUAACCCAGAAAUUAAAAAUAAAAUGUUAUAGUUACCCCCAGAACAGACAGGCAUUGGACACUCAGCUAUUACUAAGUGGCUUGGAAUAAUGGAAAACAGGAUUUUAUGGGAUUCAGAUGGAACAAGAGAUUGUGCAAAUUAAGUCUUCCUAUUCUCCUUCAGCAGCCAAGAUUGGGAAAUACACACUUAGGUCCUGAUCCUGCCAUUAACAGCAUAUGGCUGACCAGGAAUUGGUCUCUGUCCAGAUACUGCAGUCCACCCACUUAUGUCAGUUGUAGGAUUGGGAUCUUAAACACUCCCUUAAUUAAGGCAAGAGUGGAGAGAUGGACUUGACUAAUUGGGAAUGUCAAAUAAGGCAACUCUAUUUCCUCUAAUUACUGAAUUUACAUUUUUUGCUGCAGAGGGUUGAAAUAAUUUGGAAAGCAGCACAAAUUGGUAUAGAAUCUGCUUUGAGGAUAGAAUAUUUUACGUAAGAUCAUAACGUAAGAAAUUGGAAACAUUUCAAAAUUACCCUUUCUGUUAAUUUAGUUAUGUUGUUUUGCCACGCAAAAAUAAAUAGAUUUACUUAUUUAGAGACAAUUUCAUUCCUGGAUUCUCAGUGGAAUUGGAUAUAGAUGGAAUAUGUAAAAAUAAAUCCAGUUUGUCUAAAUUAACAAAAUAAUUUAUAGAGAUAAAAGAGAGGUUUUUACUUCCAUUUGGAAAAGAAAGAAAGGAAUGAGAUAACAUAAAAUA